GUGUCAGCAGCCGCGGUAAUACGGAGGGUGCGAGCGUUGUCCGGAAUCACUGGGCGUAAAGGGCGCGUAGGCGGUUCGGUAAGUUGCUGGUGAAAUCCCGGGGCUCAACUCCGGGGCUGCCGGCAAGACUGUCGGACUUGAGCACGGUAGAGGCAGAUGGAAUUCCCGGUGUAGCGGUGGAAUGCGUAGAUAUCGGGAAGAAUACCAGUGGCGAAGGCGUUCUGCUGGGCCGUUGCUGACGCUGAGGCGCGACAGCGUGGGGAGCAAACAGGAUUAGAAACCCCCGUAGUCC
rnacentral:rRNA from 1 species